GAUGAACGCUGGCGGCGUGCCUCAAACAUGCAAGUCGAGCGAGGCUAUGAAUUACCGCAAGGUAAGGCAUAGCCUAGCGGCGAACGGGUGAGUAACACGUGGGUAACCUACCUGGAAGACAGGGAUAACGAUUCGAAAGGGUCGCUAAUACCUGAUAAUAUCCAUCUGCCGGAUGGCGGAGGGAAGAAAGGGGAAACCCGCUUUCAGAUGGGCCCGCGUCCCAUCAGCUAGUUGGUAAGGUAAAGGCUUACCAAGGCGACGACGGGUAGCCGGUCUGAGAGGAUGUACGGCCACACUGGGACUGAGAUACGGCCCAGACUCCUACGGGAGGCAGCAGUUGGGAAUCUUAGGCAAUGGACGAAAGUCUGACCUAGCGACGCCGCGUGAGGGAAGAAGGCCUUCGGGUUGUAAACCUCUGUCAUGGGGAAGAAGGAAGUGACGGUACCCCAAGAGGAAGCCCCUGCUAACUACGUG
rnacentral:rRNA from 1 species